GUCAACAUAGUUUAACAAAACAUUAGGAUGUGGAUCUAAAAACAGAAGCUAAGACCUUCUUGUUGAC
rnacentral:tRNA from 1 species